CAAUAGCGUAUAUUAAAGUUGUUGCAGUUAAAAAGCUCGUAGUUGGAUUUGUGGCGGUUCCUGUGGUCCGAUUUCGGUACUUUCGGGGACUGCCAUCCUUGGGUGGAUCCUGUGUGGCAUUAGGUUGUCGUGCAGGGGAUGCCCAUUGUUUACUGUGAAAAAAUUAGAGUGUUCAAAGCAGGCUUACGCCAUUGAAUAUAUUAGCAUGGAAUAAUGAGAUAGGACCUUGGUACUAUUUUGUUGGUUUGCGCACCGAGGUAAUGAUUAAUAGGGACAGUUGUGGGUAUUCGUAUUCCAUUGUCAGAGGUGAAAUUCUUGGAUUUUUGGAAGACGAACGAAUGCGAAAGCAUUUACCAAGGAUGUUUUCAUUAA
rnacentral:rRNA from 1 species